rnacentral:rRNA from 1 species
UACGUAGGGCGCAAGCGUUGUCCGGAAUUAUUGGGCGUAAAGAGCUCGUAGGCGGUUUGUCGCGUCUGGUGUGAAAACUCAAGGCUCAACCUUGAGCUUGCAUCGGGUACGGGCAGACUAGAGUGUGGUAGGGGUGACUGGAAUUCCUGGUGUAGCGGUGGAAUGCGCAGAUAUCAGGAGGAACACCGAUGGCGAAGGCAGGUCACUGGGCCACUACUGACGCUGAGGAGCGAAAGCAUGGGGAGCGAACAGG